rnacentral:rRNA from 1 species
GACGAACGCUGGCGGCGUGCCUAAUACAUGCAAGUAGAACGCACAGUUUAUGCCGUAGCUUGCUACACCAUAGACUGUGAGUUGCGAACGGGUGAGUAACGCGUAGGUAACCUGCCUGGUAGCGGGGGAUAACUAUUGGAAACGAUAGCUAAUACCGCAUAAUAUUAAUUAUUGCAUGAUAAUUAAUUGAAAGGUGCAAUUGCACCACUACCAGAUGGACCUGCGUUGUAUUAGCUAGUAGGUGAGGUAACGGCUCACCUAGGCGACGAUACAUAGCCGACCUGAGAGGGUGAUCGGCCACACUGGGACUGAGACACGGCCCAGACUCCUACGGGAGGCAGCAGUAGGGAAUCUUCGGCAAUGGACGAAAGUCUGACCGAGCAACGCCGCGUGAGUGAAGAAGGUUUUCGGAUCGUAAAGCUCUGUUGUAAGAGAAGAACGGGUGUGAGAGUGGAAAGUUCACACUGUGACGGUAUCUGACCAGAAAGGGACGGCUAACUACGUG